rnacentral:rRNA from 1 species
AGAGUUUGAUCCUGGCUCAGGAUGAACGCUAGCGGCAGGCCUAACACAUGCAAGUCGAGGGGCAACACGUGUAGCAAUACAUGGUGGCGACCGGCGCACGGGUGAGUAACGCGUAUGCAACCUACCGUAUACAGGGGGAUAGCUCAGUGAAAAUUGAAUUAAUACCCCAUAAAGCAGGGGUACCGCCUGGUACUAUUUGCUAAAGAUUUAUCGGUAUACGAUGGGCAUGCGUGCCAUUAGCUAGUUGGUAAGGUAACGGCUUACCAAGGCAACGAUGGCUAGGGGGUCUGAGAGGAUGAUCCCCCACACUGGUACUGAGACACGGACCAGACUCCUACGGGAGGCAGCAGUGAGGAAUAUUGGUCAAUGGGCGAGAGCCUGAACCAGCCAUGCCGCGUGCAGGAAGACGGCCCUAAGGGUUGUAAACUGCUUUUGUACGGGGGUAAUUUUCGGCUUGCGAGCUGAAUUGAAAGUACUGUACGAAUAAGCGUCGGCUAACUACGUGCCAGCAGCCGCGGUAAUACGUAGGACGCAAGCGUUAUCCGGAUUUAUUGGGUUUAAAGGGUGCGUAGGCGGGUUUGUAAGUCAGUGGUGAAAGACUGUUGCUUAACGAUAGCAUUGCCAUUGAUACUGCGGACCUUGAGUGUAGUUGAGGUAGGCGGAAUGUGUAGUGUAGCGGUGAAAUGCUUAGAUAUUACACAGAACACCGAUUGCGAAGGCAGCUUACUAAGCUAAAACUGACGCUGAUGCACGAAAGCGUGGGGAUCAAACAGGAUUAGAUACCCUAGUAGUCC